rnacentral:rRNA from 1 species
UACGUAGGGUGCGAGCGUUGUCCGGAAUUAUUGGGCGUAAAGGGCUCGUAGGCGGUUUGUCGCGUCGGGAGUGAAAACGUCGUGCUUAACACGGCGCUUGCUUUCGAUACGGGCAGACUAGAGGUAUUCAGGGGAGAACGGAAUUCCUGGUGUAGCGGUGAAAUGCGCAGAUAUCAGGAGGAACACCGGUGGCGAAGGCGGUUCUCUGGGAAUGACCUGACGCUGAGGAGCGAAAGUGUGGGGAGCGAACAGG